GGGAAAAAUUACUUGUUGGUUAACCUGCAGGGUGAGCCUUAAUCAAUAGGCACGGACGAUGAAAAGAACAAAGCAUGUGAAACUUAAGCCUUUAUAUCUUGAGCUCCAUCAGAUAAAAGCUGUACCUGGAGCUGGAAAGGACAGCCAGGCUUAGCUGGGAGCUUAAACGCAUCAGCGCGAUCCAGGUUGUUUCAGGAGUUCACUUGGCUUAUUGACUGCCGUUCCCUUCCGCCACCACCAAAGAUUAAAACACAAAAGUAAGCCUCUAAUGCCGACUUAUCAGACUCUUAACGACAGAGCCCUCAAAAGAAAAACUAAUUAAUGCGAAAUGCGCGUCUCGAUCGUGACGUGUGAUUUCCUCAGGCCACUUUCCCCUGCCCGAAAUAUGAUUAAGGACAGGAAGAAAGCCCUGUUUCCUACGUGUGCAAACCUCCACACAAAAGGGGAAGCCUAGCAGAGUUCUUACAGUUCUAUGGCUAUCUCAUGGGAGCGACUUCCAAAGGCUACCAUCAGCUGGUAUGUGGUCAUAUAAGCAUAUUUUAACGUCCCCUUUCAUUCACUUUGGGCCCGAUUAAAUUAAAAGCAUCAUUCUGGGGAGGAUUUUUCUUUUCAUUCUGAAAUGAAGCUUAGCUCCAUUUUUAUAGAGCAACCUGCAUUGGUAAAUCUGUGUCAGCGGGUCAGGCCAGCUCUGGGACCCACAACCCUCUGAGCUCAUUCCCUGCACGGAGCAGCAUUGCAGUUGGUGUUAACAAGGGCAGGAGAAGCGCUGAGCCCCUGAUCCAUUGGAAAUACUGUAUGGCAUCACCGUAUCUGGCAGACAGAGUUUGCUGCUGGGCAGCCCCAGCUCUCAGGCGCCAGAUUUGUACGUUCUGACUGUUAGCAUUUCUGAAGUGUGCUAAUACAGCCAUGAUCGUAAUGGCGAGUAGUAUAAUUAUUCUGAGAACUUACUAUGCCUUCACCAGGCUCAUCGCUUGCGGGGCAGAAUGGGAGAAUGAGACAGAAUUCAGAGUUUAGCUAAUAUUUUCCCAAAUCCUGGCAUUCCUAUGCUUUUCUUUCAGUUGCUUCAGUUUAAGUUGCCCGUAUGUCAAACGGUGCCUUCUAAGAGCUCUGAUUCUCGUUCAGUAAUGAGUUCUAAUAAUUCAGUGAUUAAAUUAAUUAAUUUUGAGAGCCCUUAAGACACCCACGAGUGAAGGUACUUGCAGAAGUCUUGCACGUACCACCUCCAGCUCCGCGUGGGCGCUGAGCGUCAGACGCUCGCAGCCGCAGUGCCAGCUAAAUUAAAAAAGGGAUGAAAACCAAUUAAAAGGACUGAGACUGGUACUGAAUUGGAAAAGUCAAUAGGAAAUGGAUAAAAGCUCAUAUCUGGCUUGGUGUUUGUGCAUAAAUAUGGCACGAUUUCUGCAGUCAUAAUGAUGUUCCCUGAGACUCCAGCAAGCACAAACUAAUCUUCUGUCAGAGGAGUCUAGAACAAAGCAAAGCCCUCUAACUUUUUCCUUGCAAGGAAUAUGAUUUAGGUAAUAUUUGCAAUCACAGGGAGAAGAUAUAGGCAAGAAUAAAAAAUAAAAGUCAAGAAUUAGACGCAGUGAAACGGAGGGGUGAGUAAUCUAGAAGCAUUUCCUGCAAUUUUGACAAUUUUUUUUUAGAAAUUAAAGACGUUUUAGAAAACAAACAAAUCUGGGAGUAUUCAGUCAAGGCAGGCUCAGCUCCCUGGCUGGACAAGCCCCAUCCCCUGGCACCGGCUGGCCCAGCUCAGUGCCUCACAGAACCUUCUCGAAGGCCGUUUGACUGGAGGGGUGGAGGGACCGCGUGAGCAAACAUUUUCUGCUGACUGCAAAGUGUCUGCAAAGCCAGCCCAGCGCCUCUUCCUGAACCGGGUGGCUGCAUUGCACACGGAGCCUGCUUGCUUACAAAACACCUCUCUCUCCUCAUCCAAGUUUACCACGUCAACAGCAUCGCCCGCCAGCUGCCAGCCCAACGAGGAGCCAAAAAGGAGCUUUUUGGGUGCCUCCAUCUUCCUGUCUGUGGGAGCACCUCACCAGGCAGCCAAGCGCUUUGUUUUGUCUCCUGCUCCCCGGUGUCCGAGCAGGCAGUGCAAGCAGGGGCUGGUUGGGUUGGCACCGGGCCCUCUGCAGCAAGAGCGAGGAGCCCUAAUGGUGCUCGUUUGGUCGUGCACGCACACAUGAAAAAGCCUCGGGUAAGAAAAGAAUAAACAAAACCAACCCAAAAUGGCUUCUCCGUGCCAUGAGCGGAAACCGAUGGGUGAGGCAGAGAGAGACCUUCCCUUCGCUUCCACCUCAACUAGGUGGUCUGAAAAGUUCCAAAUCUCCUUCCUCCACUUGCAGCGCAGAAGCUGAGGAAUUAAUUCUGGCUCCCAAGAUCCCACAAACAUACGGCUAAAACAAGAGGGUCGGACGUUUUGUAAUUGCAACAAAAUGCAUUAAGAUGGCAGCUGAUUUAGAAUCUAAUUGAAAAAAUGGCAAUCACCACAAAGAAAAGCAAAAGGAGCCCAUAGCGUGCUGCAUUUCAAAGGUCACUGUUAGCACUGCCCAAGCUGGGUCCUCGCUGAAAUGCAGUGAGUCUGCUUGGAUGGAUCUCCCUAGUUUUAUACCAUCACUUUUCAGUUGCCGUAAGCCUUCUCAGAUGGAGUCUUUUUUCCAAGCUCUCCAGGACACCUGGGUGAAACUGGCUUUCCCCCAUGGCUCCCUCCUAUUUGGUUUCUUGGUUCUGCUCUGCCUGCCCUGACUGGUUUGGCUGGUUGGAAAAUGAACGCCGGAUUCAUGCGCCGCUCCCCCUCCCCCAGAACUGAGCAGACAAAACCUGAUCCCGACAACAAAACCCUCUUUAAUCCACCUGGGGAGAAAAGGAGGAAGAGAAAAGAGGACAGAGCCCUGCGAAAAAGUGAAGUGGAGAGGACGAACACAGGUAUGAAAAGCACUGAAGAAGUCAUGCCGCAUGCUACUCAGAUCAUUGCUACCACAGUACCUGGACACCGUGGCUUACCAGUACCAUGAACACACACACCAUUCAUGCAACUUCGGUGCUGAACGCACAGCACCUUUUCCCAAACCAAGAUCGCCAGCCUUCGAGAGGGCAACCAAAGGGACGCAGUGAGCAUCGCGGGUGCACAGCAGGGCUUCCAACCUUCCCGUGUCCUGGAAAAGAUGAACUUGGAGCGAGAGGCGUUCGCAGCGGAGGGAGGAAAAAAAAAUAAAUAAAAAUCGAACCAAACCUGAAAAAAAAAAAACAAAAAACCAACACAACUCAAAGUGGUAUCAGCCUACCGAAACCUAACCAAACUAAAAAAGAAAAUAAAAUAGGAAAGCAAAAGGAUUAAACCACGCGUGGUUUUCUUCGCAGCCCAGAGCUCUGCUGCUUGUUUAAGCUGGAAUUGAGAAGAGACGGCGAGUGUCUACGGGCUCGUCUUACAUGUAGUCCUUCACCCCUCCCUGCGCAGGUGCAUUCCUUGCGCCCAGCCAAUCUGCGGCCGCUGGCCCCCAACAGGUGUGUCCUCCGCGGGGAGCGGCCGGCUGAGCCUCAGCCCUGUGCCGAGGCGGCCUCUCCGGGGGCACUCAGCCUCCCCACUGCUGUCUUGAACAAAGAAUCGAUUAUUUACGAAGCGUGGGCUCCGACCUGGUGCUCCUGCUCCACCUCGUGCUCCUCCCAGGCGCCCCAAAUGUUGGCGUGAUGUGGUGCUACCGGUUCGGUGCUGGGAAAUAUUGCAGGGCUGUUUGUCAACCUGUUGAAUGAGAAAUGUGAUUAUUUAACUGAAACCCACCUGGGUCACCUCACCUGCAGCAGCAGAGCGUCGGUGGGUUGCUGAUUGCUUUCCCAAGCGAAGGAUGUAACAUGCACAGGGGCAACCUAAGGCACAAAGAGGUGCAAGGACUUUCUGUAGGACACAGCCAUGACUUUGCUGGUGAAUCCCCAAGGGCUGAUUAUUUCUUCAUCUUUGAAAACAGCAGCUUGGAUCCCACCAUCGUCUAGUCUUGGCACACAGAGUAAUCACAUAAACUAACAAGGAAUCCGACCAGAAUUCCACUGCCCUGCUAUGCAGGCUAGCAAUAGCAGAGGCCCACAGCUGGAUUCAUAAAAUCACAGAAUGGCUUCGGUUGGAAGGGGCCUUAAAGAUCAUGCAGCUCCAACCAAGGGUGCCAAACACCAGAUCAGGCUGCCCAUGGCCCCAUCCAACCUAUCCUUGAAUUCCUACGUCCUUCCAGGAGUACCAUGACCGAAAACCCAACAAUCUCAGCACAGGUCAGCUCGGACUGCUGGUAUUCACUCCUAGAUCUGUCAGAUAGAAAUUCUAUUCUCAGUGCUGACAAACAUCCCUGUUUCCCCUUCCCUGCACAGAAUGCUACUGAGAUGCUGGCAAGUGGAGUCUGUUCCACGACAUAACCUUGUUUUGAAAGUGUCGAGGGAUGUGCAAAAAGGGUUUACAAGAUUAGGACUGAUGCUCAUGAUUGGUAACAGCACUUAAAACAAAGCCAAACAGUGUCUUUCUAUGUAGCACUUUUAGCCCCUUUCAAGGAAGUUUUCCCUAAAUUCUCAGCA
ensembl:lncRNA